CGUUCCCGGCCUUGUACACACCGCCCGUCACACCACGAAAGUCGGCAACACCCGAAGCCAGUGGCCCAACCCGCAAGGGGGGAGCUGUCGAAGGUGGGGUCGGUGAUUGGGGUG
rnacentral:rRNA from 1 species